rnacentral:rRNA from 1 species
GAAAGAUGGUUUCGGCUAUCGCUUACAGAUGGGCCCGCGGUGCAUUAGCUAGUUGGUAGGGUAAUGGCCUACCAAGGCAACGAUGCAUAGCCGACCUGAGAGGGUGAUCGGCCACACUGGGACUGAGACACGGCCCAGACUCCUACGGGAGGCAGCAGUAGGGAAUCUUCCGCAAUGGACGAAAGUCUGACGGAGCAACGCCGCGUGUAUGAAGAAGGUUUUCGGAUCGUAAAGUACUGUUGUUAGAGAAGAACAAGGAUAAGAGUAACUGCUUGUCCCUUGACGGUAUCUAACCAGAAAGCCACGGCUAACUACGUGCCAGCAGCCGCGGUAAUACGUAGGUGGCAAGCGU